rnacentral:lncRNA from 1 species
AAGAAAUUGAAACUGCUUUGAUUUGGGGAAAUUAGGUUUUCUCAGUCUCGGUAGAGUUUGGUGCAGAUGUUAUUGAUAAGGAUGGAUGCAGCUUCUAAAUCGUGAUCAAGUAGGUACGUACAUUUAUUUCCCUCCAAUUUUCCACAUACAUUGCUAAGCUCCUCUAACUUUUAGUUUAGUGAGCUAUGAUUCUUGAUUAUUGCUGAAUUAAUGAAUUUCAUUAGAGUCAUCUUAUGAAAGCUAGCCUCUGGUCUAGAAAUUCAUUCAACACAGUGCUCGUAAACUUCUUAAUUCUCGAAUAAUUUCAUUUUUAAUCUUAUCAAAAGCUCGUAUCUUGCAUUUGAAAAUGUUGCAAAACCUUUGAUCCUUACGUUUUCGGUGGUAAAAGUUGCCAUUUUUCAUUCGUUUAGAGCUUAUUCAUUUUGUGGAGUAUAUAAUUUGAUUCAUACAAGUGGUAAUUACUGUUUUGGUUGUCCGUGUUUUAUAAUUUAACCUAUUACAGCAACAGCAACAGGGUAAUCUCAAGCAAAACAUGAUAAAAGUCUAAGCUUUGGAUUUAACGAGAAAACGAAAAAGUCUAAGCUUUGGAAAGAAGAAGAAAAAGUG